rnacentral:rRNA from 1 species
AUUGAACGCUGGCGGCAUGCUUUACACAUGCAAGUCGAACGGUAACAGGGAGCUUGCUCCGCUGACGAGUGGCGAACGGGUGAGUAAUGCGUCGGAACGUGCCGAGUAGUGGGGGAUAACGCAGCGAAAGUUGUGCUAAUACCGCAUACGUACUGAGGUAGAAAGUGGGGGACCUUCGGGCCUCACGCUAUUCGAGCGGCCGACGUCUGAUUAGCUAGUUGGUGAGGUAAAGGCUCACCAAGGCGACGAUCAGUAGCGGGUCUGAGAGGAUGAUCCGCCACACUGGGACUGAGACACGGCCCAGACUCCUACGGGAGGCAGCAGUGGGGAAUUUUGGACAAUGGGCGCAAGCCUGAUCCAGCCAUGCCGCGUGUCUGAAGAAGGCCUUCGGGUUGUAAAGGACUUUUGUCCGGGAGCAAAUGCUGGUGGCUAACAUCCACCGGAGCUGAGAGUACCGGAAGAAUAAGCACCGGCUAACUACGUGCCAGCCGCCGCAGUAA